UCAAGCCAACUUGACAAACAUGAAUAACAUUUAUAAACCCACAAGCUAAAUAAAUUAUACAAUCAGAAUUACAACUAUUCACCACAAGUUCAUAUCGUCAUAAAUUAGACUUAACAUUCCGAAAUUCCAAAUAAGAGAGAUCUUCUAACACUUUUACACAGUAUAUUCAUUUUGAUUCAUCAACAACAUUUCAUUACAUACAAAAUAUGCUUAUACAACAAUAACAUAACAACCAACAAGACUUGCCGAUAAUUCUGAAUAGCUAUCCAUCCACUGCCUCAGCCCAAAUCAAACAUCUCGAAGAGUGACAAGCUGACCUGAAAGAUUUAUAUAACAACGGAGUGAGCCAAAAACGGCUCAGCAAGUGACAAAAUAUAUUCAGAACAAAAGGAACGGUUUCAAACGAGUAAGGUAUCAUAAUGUAAGACAGAAAACAAGAAUUCUCAAGGAUACCAUCUCAUUAGAUACAAAAUCAUAUGUAUCAUGUCAUUCAAAACAUAUUUGAUUCAUAAUAAAUGGAGCAUAGAGUAAUUGGAGCAUAUCAAUGGCAGAUAGGACAUUUCAGAACAUAUCAGUUCAUAGCAAAUGGAGCACAGAGUAAUUGGAGCAUAUCAACGGCAUAUGGAACAUUUCGAAGCAUAUCAACAGUGAAUGAAACAUUUCAGAGCAUAUCAAAAACAAAUACCGUACAAAAGCUCAAACGUCGCCCUUGACGUUGCAAUCAUAUCAUUCUUAUCCAGAGCAUGAACAGAAACAACUCACCAAAACUCUGGAUGUCAUAUCAAACAUAUAGAAGGUGUAGUGGGAUCUCAGUCAGAAUAUGAUUCAUCCAUUUCUGAAUGACCACCUGACAAAAGUCUCCCACGUCUGGGAGCUCCAUCCACCCACGUCUAGGUGAAGUCAGAGGGGGCCGGUAGAGCAUCGCAGGCUCUAAGCACAUACCCUUUACCAUUUCUGGCAAAGGUUCAGAAUAUCCCACAGAGCGGGCAAUAAGCACAUACCCUUUACCAUUUCUAGCAAAGGUCCAGACAAUCCCACAACCACUAGAGUACAAGAAGGUAGUUUUAACAAUAAGUAGCAUAUAUUGGAAGCACACGCGGAACAACAAAACGUACAUGUGCCUUUUCGAGACAAUACGAAACAAAGAACAAAUCUCUCACAAAUGUAUUCAGAUUUGGAAUGAAUUGGAAUAGGCACAUAUCGGAAGCAAAUGCGGAACAAUGGGAUACACAUGUGCCUAUGUGAGUCAAUACGAUAUAGCAUAAACGUUACACAAUAGUUUUCAAGAAUGCAAUUAAUUUUAAGGACAAGAGCAUACAAGAAUUCAAAGCAGUAAUAUAAAGCUCAAUUGAAUAAGAAGGCUAAAGGAUAUCAAUUUCCAAAGGAAUGAAACCAGAAUAUGAGAAAUCGACCAAAGCUCGAUCGUCGUCCUGGACGUUGCAAUCAUAUCAUUCUUAUCCAGAGCAUGUACAAAAACACAUAACCAAAGCUCUGGAUAUCAUAUCAAACAUAUAGAUGGUGUAGUGGGACCUCAAACAGAACGUGAUACAUCCAUUUCUGAAUGACCACCAGACAUAAUCUAGAGCAUCGCAGGCUCUAAGCACAUACCCUUUACCAUUCCUGGCAAAGGUCCAGAAUAACACCCUUUACCAUUUCUGGCAAAGGUCCAAACAGUCCCACAAACACCAGAGUACAAAAGGGCAGUAUGAACAAUAAAUAGCAUAUAUCGGAAGCACACGCGGAACAACAAACGUACAUGUGCCUUUACGAGUCAAAUAUGAUGCAAGCAACAAUCUCUCACAAAUGUAUUCAGAUUUGGAAUGAAAUGAAAGCAAGAGUAUACAGGGAUUCCAAACAAUCAUAUUUAGCUCAAUUCAAAUAAGAAAGCUAAAGAAUAUCAAUUUCCAAAGGAAUGAAACCAGAAUAUGAGAAAUCGACCAAAGCUCGAUUUCUGGCAGAAUACAAGAGGCACAUUGAACAAAUGAUUCGAACUAUCAAUCGUGCUCCAAUUUACUCAGAAAUAAUCAUUGGAUUAUACUUUCAGAUAAGACAGGCUUCAUAUGAAUUGAACUGUCCAACAGAGAGAGUUACAAAUAGUUUGGUAAACCAGGGUCACAGAACAAAAUCUUUGUUUGGCAGAAUUCAUAAGGUCAGAUUCAACAGAUAACUGGGCAGGUGUUUGGAUUCCAGAUCUUUCAAUCCAUAUUUCAAAAGAAGGAUCUACGAGUCUAGUUUCCAAUGAAAUCAAGUUUGAACAAAUCGGAGUUUCCAACAGACUUAUAGGCAGCUCGGUAUCAAAAGGUCAGAAUCUCAGAAGUUGCACAGAUUCGAAUCGUUACGUCUAAAUAGGAAAUAUAUCAAAUGCAAGGCUAGAACAAUUCAAAGUUCCUCAUAUUCAAAGCAAAUGUAGAGAUAAAAUUGCAGUGAGGAACGAUCAGGAUACUUGCAAUAGGAAAGAUUAGAACAAUUACAGGCGGAACGAUCGGGAAACUUGCAAUAAGAAAAGUUAGAGCAAUUAUAGGAGGAACGAUCAGGGAACUUGCAAUAGAAAGGAUCGAAACAAGCUGGAAACUUGCCUUUCAAAGAUUUCGAUCCGAAGAUCCAAAGAAGGUGCCAGCCCAAAUCCUUCUACUUUUCCUCCGUGUCCUCUCUCUGUUUCGUUUUGUGCUCCCGUUUUCUUCCUUUCUUCGCAACUACACCACGUGUCGAACAUCGAGGCACAGUCACCUGCUUUCUCUUACUCUCAUUCCUUCUUUUUCUUUCCCAAACGCAGCUGCCACAGUCGCCGCCGCUGCCGCUGCCACAAUCGCAGCCGCUGUCGCUGCCACAAUCGCAACCCCUUCCACCGCACUACCUUCCUUCCUCCCUUCUCUCGCAGACAUAACUACUGCAUACGCAGUCGCUGCCGCUGCGGCCGCAAUCCCGUCCGCAGCCCCUUUUUCCCCCUUUCCUUUCUUUUCUUUCCCAGCUGCAACUGCCGCAGUCGCAGUCGCAACCAUGGCUGCAGCCG
rnacentral:lncRNA from 1 species